UUACGAGGUCAGGACACUGUGAGGAUUGACAGAUUGAAAGCUCUUUCUUGAUUCAGUGGGUGGUGGUGCAUGGCCGUUCUUAGUUGGUGGAGUGAUUUGUCUGGUUAAUUCCGUUAGCGAACGAGACCUUAACCUGCUAAAUAGUCACGCGAACCGGUCCGCAAGGGCUCAAAGUUCGCGGCUCGACUUCUUAGAGGGACUAUUCGCACCCGCCAGCGAAUGGAAGUUUGAGGCAAUAACAGGUCUGUGAUGCCCUUAGAUGUUCUCGGCCGCACGCGCGUUACACUGACGGAGUCAACGAGCGUUUUUCUUUGCCCGAUAGGGCCGGGUAACCUCCUGAAACUCCGUCGUGAUGGGGAUAGAUCAUUGCAAUUAUUGAUCUUGAACGAGGAAUUCCUAGUAAGCGCGAGUCAUCAACUCGCGCUGAUUACGUCCCUGCCCUUUGUACACACCGCCCGUCGCUCCUACCGAUUGAACGGUCCGGCGAGAACUCCGGAUGGUC
rnacentral:rRNA from 1 species